AGGAAGGAAGAUUUUAAAAAUACACAUGAUAUAUAAUUUACAACGAAAUUAGUAAGAUUUAUAUCAUCAAUACCACAUUAUUUUUUUGUUUGUUACAAACUUUCGAGCGCGCUCACACUCUUACAUAUAUAUUAUAACAAAUAUAUGCGCUCUCGUCUCUCUCGCCUCUUAAUGUGGGGAUCAGAACGCAAUCCAUUAGGGGGUGAUAACCCUACCCAAAGAUAGGAAGAGUUUUGAUACAAGGGUCUGGCGCCAGGUAAAAGCAUUAGUCAAGGGGGUAAUAGGCAUGCUAGUAGUCCCUUUAGAUAGCCUUGCCUUGUCCCAAGAACUAUCUUCCUGUCCUGUGAUCUCCUGGUCUUAAUUGUCUUUUCAGGAAUGUCAGUACAUCCUGGUCACUUCUGGGGGCUGAAGGCCCAUAGAUGAAUAAUCACCAUUCGAAUGACGGAGAGCAGAAGCAGUCCCGAGUGAGUCCUCCCUCAUUUUUUAUCCAUGCAUAAAGUUUGCCUGCUGAGUCCCAGUCCUCAGGCCGUAUCUUUUGUCUUGGCUGUUACAAGCAGCCCCAGCAUUGUUAACUUGAAGACCCAUUGGAGCAACUACAUGGUUGCUAUAUUGCCCAUGACAAUUUUGGAGAGGCCGAGACGUGUUAUCCUGUCCCUUGUGUUCUGCCACCGAUCAUUCCUGUGAGAAGUUACCUUGGAAGAUAAUUGAUUCAAAAGUGCUACAAGUAAACCCUGCUUAUGAAACAGAGAACCAUGAGCCAUGGGGUCAUUCUUUCAUCCUAAAAACAAUGCCGAAGCCCUGUGCUACCGAAAUGUCACCCUGACUUCAGGUCACGAACCUUCUCUGACUUCUGCCUGAACAGCCAAACAGUGCAGACGGGCCCAUAAUCCCUCAAACUGGAGCUCUUUGUCUGCUUCCUACACUGGUCCGCACCCAUCUUCAAAAAUCAAGCUGAGUGCACACCACUACAAGGUAUGUCCAGAAGUUUCAAAUUCAACCAGCCCCUGUUUCUCUCAGUAUAUUUAUCUCAAUUUUUUUUUCAAUAUUUCAAUUUUCCAGUCUUAAUGAACUCCUUUGUGAAGCCACCUAGCAUGCAUAUUUUCCUUGUGACCUGUUCCAAGUUAUAUUUAGAGUCCUGAUAUAGUAAUGAAAGUUUUUCCACCAAAGUGAAUGUGUUAAUCAAUUGAAUGAUGAAUUCCUCCAUCCUGAGUAAUUAACUUCAUGUGAGAGAAAGUAUUUGUAUGGUUAGAGUAACCCUGGAACUCUAUUCUAGGUUUUCCUGCAGUCCUUGUGUUCCAUGUUUCUCGCACUUUGCCCCUCGACUAGGUUCCUUCACGUGGUGAGGAGUUAAGGGAUCCUGCCUUCACUCUUGUGAAGACUAGAUUCGUACGGAAUGCCUAUGAAACUUUUGGGGUUAACGGCCGUGGACAUUUCCACUAUCGUCUAAUUUAACUGCUUAGGCCAGUCUGAGAAGGAAUUGUUGGUUGGGAAAGGUUUGGAUUUGAAGCUAAUAGUUGUGGUGGUUGAGUCACCACCUGAUAUGGUUUGUACCUGAGAGGUAGUAAUGGGAUUUUCCCAUUACUGUG